UACCAAAAAUCCCUCUAAAAAACCUAUCUACGAAACUCGGCAGUUUAUCCACAAUCUUAGUGGAGUUUAGAUUGCCAAUUCCUCUCCUCCAUUAGAAUCCCCACUACUCGUCCUCUCCGAUUUUAUCAAUUUCUAAUUUUUCUUUGAUGUUCAAAUUUUAAGGGCGUCGUCGCGACCCCAACUGCGACUCCGACUCUCAACGCCGCCCCUCCUCCAACACCUAUUGUAGCAGCAACCACAACGGAGAAAAGAAAAAGGGGAAGGCCUAGAAAGAAUAGGAAAAUCGUUGCGCCCGAAUUAUUAUCUAUUACUAUCUAUCUGUAUCUAUUUAUUUCAAUGAAGUUAUUAAUGAUAUACAGGUUGAGAGGAACAUAGACUUGGUCUAUGAAGGUGCAAGCAUAGGAUUGAUGGUUUGAUUUUUCUCAAUCUGUGUAUAAUGGUGGCUGCCACGUGUUGGGGUGGUGGGGUAGUAUAUGUGUGUAGCAGAUUGAGCAGGUUGUCGAAGAGCCUAAAUCAGGAAUAAAUGAAGCACUUGCUUAUAUAAAGUUGGGACCGUUGAAAAGUUGCUGUCAGGAGCUCAAAAAAAUUGUAAUUGCUUAAAUUAAGUGUGUAGUUAGUUAGAGUUAUAACUUUUUUUGUAGUUCUCGUCAAAAUAUUAUGUAGUUUAAUUUUAUUGAAUAUUGUUAAGUUUUUAAAUUGUAAUUGCUUAAAUUAAUGUAUUCGUCAUUUGUAUUUUGUAA